rnacentral:rRNA from 1 species
GACGAACGCUGGCGGCGUGCCUAAUACAUGCAAGUAGAACGCUGAAGAGAGGAGCUUACUCUUCUUGGAUGAGUUGCGAACGGGUGAGUAACGCGUAGGUAACCUGCCUUGUAGCGGGGGAUAACUAUUGGAAACGAUAGCUAAUACCGCAUAACAAUGGAUGACACAUGUCAUUUAUUUGAAAGGGGCAAUUGCUCCACUACAAGAUGGACCUGCGUUGUAUUAGCUAGUAGGUGAGGUAAUGGCUCACCUAGGCGACGAUACAUAGCCGACCUGAGAGGGUGAUCGGCCACACUGGGACUGAGACACGGCCCAGACGCCUACGGGAGGCAGCAGUAGGGAAUCGUCGGCAAUGGGGGCAACCCUGACCGAGCAACGCCGCGUGAGUGAAGAAGGGUUUCGGAUCGUAAAGCUCGGUUGUAAGUCAAGAACGGGUGUGAGAGUGGAAAGUUCACACUGUGACGGUAGCUUACCAGAAAGGGACGGCUAACUACGUG